rnacentral:lncRNA from 10 species
GUCUGUAUUUCCGCCGGCGCGAAACGAGCGUAGCUUCCUUGUCGUGUGGCCUCAGUCCUUCGCCGUCCCUCGCCGUCCUUCGCCAUCGCACGCCACCGCACCCCAUCUCUCGAAAUCUGCAGACAUCUUGAUUUUUCCCACGCUGUCUGUCAGGUCUCCGCCGCCACUCGACGCCAGGGCGCCGGGCCUUGUGGGCUGUGCUGCACCUCGGACGGCUUCGCACCAGCCAGCGCCCUCUCUCUCCUGCAGCACUCUGAUCUGCACCCCCUGAGGGGCUUCCACUGUCCGCGGGGUGAGAAUGCCCCUGGGAGUGUCACAUGACUGCCGCCCCAUGUGUGUGAGAGGCGUCCUCUGGGAGAGCAUGGAUCCUGAGGUCCCAGGAUUGUCAGCUGACCUCUGUCCUGUGUGCCCAGUGGCCCCAGGUGACGUGUCUUCAAGAAGAGGCUGAGCUGCGGUGCUUGUAAGAGUCAUGUGCUGUUCCUGGGGCUUGGAUGAUGUAGGGGAAGCAAGGUGAAAGUGGUAUCCCGUGGUUCCACGUUCUGUCCUGCUGUGGGGCUGUCCCUCACAUGCUUUCAGUGGCUGUUGCAGAGGAAGAGCCUCCGGAAAUCUGCGUGGGUCUCAGCCUUAGAUCCAAGGACAGUCCAAGGAAGUCCUAAGACCAUGGAGUUGGUGAUCUGGGAUCUGGGUUUGCUGAUAUUUCUCACCGUGAAUCUCUUGGUGGUGUUUGUGGGCACGAGAGGGGCAGAGAAUGGAGAGUGAGGCUACCACAUGAAGCGUCACCAGAGCUGCUCCCUGCUGCCUGCUCAGAGCACCCCGGAUCCACUGUUCAAUCUGCACAAGAUUCGGGGUCCAGACAUGGGAGACUUCAGCUGCCUCAGAGGACCGUGGACAGGGAAGGCCAGCCUCGCAUCCCUCUGUCCAUGCCUGGAAUGACUUUAAUAACCAAGAGUUUUAUUUUUGAAUUUGUAGCUGUCGUUCACUUUUUACCCACCCAUUCAAUAAACCUUACAGAAUUGCUCCAU